rnacentral:tRNA from 1 species
AGGAUUAUAGUUUUAAAUAAAACAUUUGAUUUGCAAUCAAAAAUUAUUGAACAAUUCAAUUUAUCUUA